AGAGGUGGAGCCUACAGAGGCAGGCAGGCCUCCUUGAGCUGUGGUGGGCUCCACCCAGUUCGAGCUUCCCAGCUGCUUUGUUUACCUAAGCAAGCCUGGGCAAUGGCGGGCGGCCCUCCCCGAGCCUCGCUGCCGCCUUGCAGUUUGAUCUCAGACUGCUGUGCUAGCAAUCAGCGAGACUCCGUGGGCGUAGGACCCUCCGAGCCAGGUGUGGGAUAUAAUCUCGUGGUGCACCGUUUUUCAAGCCCGUCGGAAAAGCGCAGUAUUCGGGUGGGAGUGACCCGAUUUUCCAGGUGCCGUCCGUCACCCCUUUCUUUGACUCAGAAAGGGAACUCCCUGACCCCUUGCGCUUCUCGAGUGAGGCAGUGCCUCGCCCUGCUUCGGCUCCCGCACAGUGCGCGCACACACUGGCCUGCGCCCACUGUCUGGCACUCCCUAGUGAGAGAAACCCGGUACCUCAGAUGGAAAUGCAGAAAUCACCCAUCUUCUGCGUCGCUCACGCUGGGAGCUGUAGACCAGAGCUGUUCCUAUUCGGCCAUCUUGGCUCCUCCUCCUAUAUUUACUCUUUUAAUAGCAUUGCUUCCCUGUGAUCUCUAACCCACCACAAUUGAAAUGACAAGCGUUGAAAUGGGGGCCUCACGGUGGCGCCCUCUGCCUUUGCCGGCCCUUUCUGCAGCACGGAACGGUUCACGCCGCAGAGCACCGGUUCUCAAACUUGAAUAAUGCCUGGACACCCUUGGGAAGGAUAGAAUCAUCUUCAGAAACCCCACAACACGUCAGUGGAGUCCACUUUGAGAAAUGCUGACCUAAAAAUUAGAAUCUUAUUCUAUUAAAAUGGCUUACAUUUGAGAAUUAUCACUGCAAAGAAAAGUUCCGUCUUUAGAACUGCUAAAAGGUUGAGUUUUUACAUCUUUACUCUGCUAUUGAAACAAAACUAUUAAAAUUAUCUUAAAUAUCCUGAAAGUCUCAGACUCCUGAAAACGUGUCCACAGAUCCCUGCUUGAAAAACCUGCCGGAGUACCUGCUUUUCCUUGCAUUUGUUGGCAGAAGAUGAGCGUUUGACCUUUUACAAACUGCUCUGUAAAUAUCAUCAUUGCUUAGUUUGUGAAAGACUAAUGUGUUUCCACUAACAAAACUGUCUUUCCAGGGUUGCUGCUUUCUAGAAUAAUGCUUGUUUUCCUACUGGGUUUUCUGUUGCUGGUGUUUUUUUUAAAGGCAACCAAAUUUGUCUAAGGGAUUGCACUUUAAGGCAAUCCAGGGACUUUUAAUGAAGAACUGAUGAGAAAGCCAAAGUCUCUGGUUGAAAAAAAAAAAAAUGUGACAAAGUAGCAGAUCUCAAAAAUAUUAACCAAGUAGAUUCUCUAAUAUUUGAUACUUUAAACGCAAACUGUUUUCUAAACAAUGUUUGUAAGCAAAUGUUAAAAGUAUUUUUUUCCGGGAUUACUGCUUCUAUAUUAAACAGAUAGUAUGAACAAACGAUAGAGUUGGCUUUUCUAUCCUCACAGCAAUCAGUAAGUGUGGACUUUUUUUUUCUUAAGAAGAAACACCAAAAUAAAUGAUUCCUCUAAAGGAUCUAGUAUUCCAAAAAGGGUGAAUAAAGAAAGUUUAGAACAUUGAUAUUUCCAUAACAUAACUAAUAUGUUAUUGUUUGUAACAGAGGAAGGAAAUAAACCAGUUGACA
rnacentral:lncRNA from 10 species